rnacentral:rRNA from 1 species
CCUUUAGAGUUUGAUCCUGGCUCAGGACGAACGCUGGCGGCGCGCCUAACACAUGCAAGUCGAACGAGCGAGAGGAGGUUUACUUUCUCAAGCGAGUGGCGAACGGGUGAGUAACGCGUGAGGAACCUGCCUCAAAGAGGGGGACAACAGUUGGAAACGACUGCUAAUACCGCAUAAGCCCACGACCCGGCAUCGGGUAGAGGGAAAAGGAGCAAUCCGCUUUGAGAUGGCCUCGCGUCCGAUUAGCUAGUUGGUGAGGUAACGGCCCACCAAGGCAACGAUCGGUAGCCGGACUGAGAGGUUGAACGGCCACAUUGGGACUGAGACACGGCCCAGACUCCUACGGGAGGCAGCAGUGGGGAAUAUUGCACAAUGGGGGAAACCCUGAUGCAGCGACGCCGCGUGGAGGAAGAAGGUCUUCGGAUUGUAAACUCCUGUUGUGAGGAAGAUAAUGACGUACUCAACAAGGAAGUGACGGUAA